rnacentral:snoRNA from 1 species
UUGCGAAUGAUGAAAUUUUUCUUUUUUUGCUCGAGAAAUCCACCAUGUGAGCAAAACUUUGAGCUUUUUAACUCUGACGCCAA